rnacentral:rRNA from 1 species
CAGCCGCCGCGGUAAUACGUAGGUGGCAAGCGUUGUCCGGAAUUAUUGGGCGUAAAGGGCUCGCAGGCGGUUUCUUAAGUCUGAUGUGAAAGCCCCCGGCUCAACCGGGGAGGGUCAUUGGAAACUGGGAAACUUGAGUGCAGAAGGGGAGAGUGGAAUUCCACGUGUAGCGGUGAAAUGCGUAGAGAUGUGGAGGAACACCAGUGGUGAAGGCGACUCUCUGGUCUGUAACUGACGCUGAGGAGCGAAAGCGUGGGGAGCGAACAGGAUUAGAUACCCCUGUAGUCCCUGUCUCUUAUAA